GAGUUUGAUUCUGGCUCAGGACAAACGCUGGCGGCGUGCUUAACACAUGCAAGUCGAACGAUGAAACUGAGAGGAAAUUUUCGGAUGGAAUUUCGGUGGAUUAGUGGCGGACGGGUGAGUAAUACAUGAAGAACCUGCCUUUCACAUAGGAAUAGCCUCGGGAAACCGGGAUUAAUACCAAAUGACACUCCGAGAUCGCAUGGUUUUGGGGUUAAAGAUUUUAUCGGUGAAAGAUGGCUUCAUGUCCCAUUAGCUGGUUGGUGAGGUAACGGCUCACCAAGGCGACGAUGGGUAGCCGGCCUGAGAGGGUGAACGGCCACAUUGGAACUGAGACACGGUCCAAACUCCUACGGGAGGCAGCAGUGGGGAAUAUUGCACAAUGGAGGGAACUCUGAUGCAGCGACGCCGCGUGAGCGAUGAAGGUCUUCGGAUCGUAAAGCUCUGUCCUAAGGGACGAUAAUGACGUACCUAGAGGAGUCCGC
rnacentral:rRNA from 1 species